AUGCUGUACUGCCGAGUGCCACCCGAGGCUUCUAUUGGCUGUAGUUUGCUCUGGGGCUUUCACAGUUGAAUCCUGGAGCCUGGGCUCAGCAGGUAUCUGUGUGGCCAAGGAAGUGCUAUGCCAACAUCUUCCAUUAGAAUCAGGGUUUCCCCUUCUUGCUUCAUCAGAGCCAACUUUUGAUAUUCUUGGAAGGGGACAGGAGGUAGGAACAAAGAGAGAAGUAGCCUACGCGUGCACCCCCAGGGUGGGGUACUGUCCACAGUGCCCUGGGUGACUAGUACCUUGUAACCACUGGUAAGGUUUGUCCUUGAAGCUUGUGGUCCUCCCAACAUAUAGGGAAUGUGUGUUUAUGUACCAGAUGGGAAUUUUUAGGGGACAUGGUGACUGUGUGAUCUCUUUGUCCAGUGUUGGCCCUCGGUACUAGAACUUGGAGUUGCUCUGUUUGGUUACCAGUGGACUGUUUUUCAGAUGUGAGCAUCUUACAGGGCAUUCUAUCCUAAUUCUCACAAUGAACACCCCUCCCCCCGCCCCAAAUCCUGAGAGCAAGCAUUUGUGCCAGCCACAGGAAGCAGAAGUAUUAAGGGAAGAGGUGCUGGCAGCUACCUUGCGGGGAGACUCCAGUAGGAAAGUCACAGGCAAUGACACCAGUCUUCAUGACUUUCAUUCUCAUUUAUAAGUUGGACUUCGAGUCAGUAGAACAUUUAUGCUCAGAAUCUUUCUUAAGACAGUUUCCAGUAUUUCUUUGAUUGGAAUUAAUCCAGGCAAAAGAAGAGGCUUUAUCAGAGAGCGGGAGUGAAGUAUCGUGGGUCCUGCCCGUAUCCCAUUUUCACAGUAACAAAUUCACAUGCAGGAUUUACUUUAUACUGUAGAAUACUGACUUUCAUGAUGACAACUUGAUUUAUGCAUGAAUAUCAACAGUAUUUCCAUAUAGUAAAAUAACAUUUCUGCCCAGGAUAAUAGUCACAGUUUUCCAGGGAGGGAAUGAUAUAAUUUUCAUGACAAUGUCAUGUGCUGAUAGAAUUUCUCCAUUGAUGAACCUCUAGUAUGUGUGUAUACUUUAUUUACCCCUGUGUAUAUUUUAUGAUCAUGAUCUAAGCUGUUAAUUCUUUCAUUCAUGUCCCCGCUAAGACACUGAUAUUAGCAACUUAGAGUUGGUGAGUUUUAUCUUCAGUCAUACCAGUUCCACAGAGAUGAGGCCUCAGUCCAGAACCCAUCUUCACAGAAAAGCAGCAGUAGCCUGCAGGUGGCUAUGCUUGGAGCGACAUUUGGCUGCCAGUAGCAGGCCUGGCAUGGUGUGACGUGAGGGGCCUAAUUACCUAGCUGUUGCUGGACACCAGCUGUGCAUACCUGAGCAUGCCCAGUGUAUUGGGUUCAUGCACAGUCCUGGACCCGAGCUUUCACAAGCUCUGUCCUCAAGGGAACUGUGUCCUUCUCCGUCCCAUUAAGAUUUGGACACAGAUAAGACAUCUUCCACUUCAUUCUUCCUGGUCAUAAGCCAGUAAGGCAAGAAGGCCCCCACGUGGCAGCAUUCAGCUCUCAUCCAUGGAGCCCAGAGCGCAGCAGUGCUGGGCUCUCCUUUUCAGCAGCCUCACAGCCUCCCCAUCCUUCCAGGAUGUCGACCGCCAUGUCACCACUCUGAUGCCCAGCAUUCUCGGGUUGCUGCAUGAGUGUUGAGAACACUCCUAACCAACAUUGCUGUCUGCUGCCGUCUGGCAGUCCAGUGAGCCCUUUUCUGUCCGUUCCUAACAACUUUGAUUGGACACAUUGAAAAUUUUCUGACUGUCCUUAAGACAGCAGAGACGCCUCUGUUUUAUUUGGGUUUUGUGACUGACUUUGCCUAUGUAUCUUCCUGGGGUUUUGUUUGUGUUUAAUUUUUAUUUUGCAUACUGAGGGUAUUGGGGUGGGGUUGUUUUUUGAGAUGUGUAAUUCUUUCAUGGAGUUUUUAAAAAGAAUUUUCAUAUUGUUUUUCUAACAUGGCUUCAUUAAACGUUUAAGUAUUUUAAAACUAUGUAAUAUUUGGACCAGAUGUUGUGAAUAACAGUAGAGAAAAGCUAUUUUAUUCUGUAUUUUUAAAACUGUUCCGUACAAAUAAAAGCUCUCCUGGAUGUA
rnacentral:lncRNA from 1 species